rnacentral:rRNA from 1 species
UAGGGAAUCUUCCGCAAUGGGCGAAAGCCUGACGGAGCAACGCCGCGUGAGUGAUGAAGGUCUUCGGAUCGUAAAACUCUGUUAUUAGGGAAGAACAAAUGUGUAAGUAACUAUGCACGUCUUGACGGUACCUAAUCAGAAAGCCACGGCUAACUACGUGCCAGCAGCCGCGGUAAUACGUAGGUGGCAAGCGUUAUCCGGAAUUAUUGGGCGUAAAGCGCGCGUAGGCGGUUUUCUAAGUCUGAUGUGAAAGCCCACGGCUCAACCGUGGAGGGUCAUUGGAAACUGGAAAACUUGAGUGCAGAAGAGGAAAGUGGAAUUCCAUGUGUAGCGGUGAAAUGCGCAGAGAUAUGGAGGAACACCAGUGGCGAAGGCGACUUUCUGGUCUGUAACUGACGCUGAUGUGCGAAAGCGUGGGGAUCAAACA